rnacentral:rRNA from 1 species
CCUACGGGAGGCAGCAGUGAGGAAUAUUGGUCAAUGGACGAGAGUCUGAACCAGCCAAGUAGCGUGAAGGAUGACUGCCCUAUGGGUUGUAAACUUCUUUUAUAUGGGAAUAAAACGUUCCACGUGUGGGAUUUUGUAUGUACCAUAUGAAUAAGGAUCGGCUAACUCCGUGCCAGCAGCCGCGGUAAUACGGAGGAUCCGAGCGUUAUCCGGAUUUAUUGGGUUUAAAGGGAGCGUAGGUGGAUUGUUAAGUCAGUUGUGAAAGUUUGCGGCUCAACCGUAAAAUUGCAGUUGAAACUGGCAGUCUUGAGUACAGUAGAGGUGGGCGGAAUUCGAGGUGUAGCGGUGAAAUGCUUAGAUAUCACGAAGAACUCCGAUUGCGAAGGCAGUUCACUGGACUGCAACUGACACUGAGGCUCGAAAGUGUGGGUAUCAAACAGGAUUAGAUACCCGAGUAGUC